UUAGCUGCCAAGUGGCAAAUGGAAUAAGUCCAAAAACGGGAAGGAAAAUUAACAGGAACCAUCAAGUUAAGGAAAAUAUUCUGGCUGUAAGCCAAAUGACAGAAAUAUAACAAUCCGUGUACCACACUCAACAAAUGGUUUCGUAGUGUAGUGGUUAGCACUCCAGACUUUGAAUCUGGCGACCUGGGUUCAAAUCCCGGCGAGACCUACUUUUUGAACUGGCAUUUUAGUACUUCCAUGGUACCAUGUAGUCACAUUUUUUUCCUGAAAUUUAGUACUCGGGUAAAAUAUCGACUCACAAUUUUUGUGCUGACACUAGUGCUUCCAGGGUAGAAUGUACUCCUGUUUUUGCUGACAUUUCGUAUUUCCUUGGUACAAUGUACCCAGAUCUUCCAUAGUACAAUUACUCGCAUGUGAAAGAAAAGUGUAUACCUACUAACUUCAGAUGAGUUGCUGCAACCCAAUGUACACCUUCCUCAUUGAUUACGGUGGAGACUGAACUGAACUACUUAUUUCGAUACCGAUGUUCUUAAAAGAGACAUCAAUGCCUCAUUAAUAUUCUAUUCUAGCAACAUGAUGUGGCGACCCAUGGAAGAAAUCCGAAUAUUGUAUUCUAGCAAUGUUAGUAAACAUGAAGGAGGAACUGCAAUGGCCACUAUUGAGUGGUUCAAAGCCCAGCUAGGCAAUCAAAAAUAACAUUCACAAGGUCAUACUGAAUGGACUGGCCAUAUUAUUAGUUCAAAAUUGUGAUGAAUUGAUAAAGUGUGAGGUCUUCUGUAAUCUCUGCGUUCUCUUUGUAUCAUCAUUCCGGCAAAGGUUUACUGCAAUAAAGUUUGAGCUGCAACUUAUUAAUGUGGCCAUCUACCGGCUAUGGACAUGCUUAUGCCAGCAGCUAGCAAUCCUUAGUUGGAAAGCAUUGUCAGUUUACCGAUUUACAUCAAAGGCCACUAAGAUGGUCUGUUAGUCACAAUUUAGGUGCAAUGCAACUUAUAAGUGCAAGGAAAGGAUUCUGUCUUCAGGAGUAUACACACUUAUUCCACAAAUGAAAACUGGGUAAACAGUAAGCCCAUGGCAAAUGAUAAGACAAAACUAUAUGAAGUGACCAACUAAACCAACUCUGUCAACAAAAUUAAAUGCCAGGAAAUAUAUAUGUACCUCGGACAGAAGAGUGAGAAUCAGGUAGUUGAUUGUCACAUUCCAAUACAGAGCCAGUGUAAAGCAAAUGAGCAGAAUAAGGUGUGCAUGAGAAUUCCACGAAUCCAUCCACUGUAUAGCCGAUAGCGGAGCAUAUCCAAUUGGUCAUAAGCAAAGUAGCCACCUGAAAAGCACAGAGCAGAUUAUGCUGCAAUCCAACUGCUACCAACUAAUUCUUCAUGCUGAAACAUGUUCUCAAGGCUCUUAGUACGCCACUGCCACAACAGAACAAAGAUAACUGAAAAUCCAGAUAGGAGUGAGAUAAAGUCAAUCAAUAAGCUAGAGAUAUAGUAAGGUUUCGAGAAUAUGCAGUACACGUACGAGCCAUUCUAUUUAAAAUAAGGAUCAAUAGUUUUGCAUACUGCAGACAGAAGGCUCUACAACGUCCUAACUAUCUUCAGAUAGAGAAGAGCACCUCUAAUGACACAUAUCCGACCAUCUAGGACAUAAAAUUUCUCCUUCUAUCAUUUUUUGCUUAGCCAUUGUCAAUUCUGUGCGACAGAUUUACUGGUAAUAAGUAUGUGCGAAGAAGUGGUACAUCAAAUUAAUGUUGUGAGAAAGGUGGCGUUUCUAAAAUUCAGCCGCCUAGUGCACAUAGAGGCCCCCCAGUCACUGGGUGACACCCUUCCUGGUAGCCAAUUUAUCCCUCCUAGGCCGGCCUAAUUGGCGUUUAGGCACUAGGUGCUGAUUUGCCGCCCAACUAGCGGACAAGACGGAGAUAUUAGCCACCCAACUAGCAGACAAGACGGAGAUAUUAGUCGCCCAACUAGCAAACUCCUCUUAACACACUUUAUUACCAUUCUUUGAAGGGUUGGCAGUUUUGUCUGAAAAGACAUGGAAGUAUUUGCACGCAAGGCCAUUGCAUGGUUGCCACAUUUACCUGGAAGUUGGAGCCAUACAAACUUAGAAGCCAAACAUGCUAAACAGCAAGGUAGACAGCAGUAUGGGAUUUGAGAAAGCUUGCGCAAUUUCAACCAAUCCAAUCUCAAAUGGAGACACAACUCUCAACAGCACAAGGAAGCAGCAUCGCGGUGGCCAACAAGACUUCACACUAAAGAGAACAUAGCUCAUGCUGCUCCCUUUUAUCCAGGGCCGAACAAAUUGCAUCGAAGUCAAAGCAUCAACAGGUUAACCGCUUGAUUAAUCAGCCGCGCCCUCUCCAUCCACAAAUUCGCGCAUCGCUGGAAGUAAACUAGGCGUACCCUUUCUUCUACUAGUCGAUUAACCCAAAGCACAUGUACGCGAAAAGCGACGGGACGAAACGUGAGGGUUUGGAGAAGGGGGAGAAAGAGAGGCGAGACCUGAGGCGGAAGUGAGGGAGGAGUGGAGUAGCGAGACGGCGGUGUUGACGAAGAGCGGAUCGCGGGAGACGGCGACGCGGACGGCCGCGUUGGCGGCCCGGAAGAAGGCGAAACCGGCGGCCAGGGCGGCCAGCUCACGGCGGCCCCGCGCGCCGAUCUCGAACUGCCGACACGGCCAGAGCAGCAGCGUCGCCGCGCCGGCGCGACUGGGUGGGGGGGGUGAGGGGGGCGACAUCCCGUCUUCCGUCGUGACGAGCCGAGAGCCGCACCCGUCCACACGCUAGCCACUGCCCAACCAGCCCCCACAGAAAGAGAAUGGUUGAUUAAUUGUCUGCAUACCUGUAUUAGCGUGAAUUUUAAAGCGCCCGAAGCCUGGUUCAAGAGCUAUGCUUGGAUCAACAGUUUCUCCAGCCUGGCUGGUGCGAUGCACAGCGAACCCACAUGUGUAGGGACCUUACAGCAACUCUAGCACACCCGCAUCGGUCCGGCCCGUAAAACGUGUUUACAGCUCGCGGAAAAACGCCUUUACGGACCGGCGCACGGCCGCGGAUGUAGACCCCGCAUAACGGAUCCGUAAAAAAGGCAUAUUCGUUGAAUAUGCUUUUUUACCGGUCGGCUUUGCGGGGUCUGAUCUGGAGCAGCUCCUCCCGGUCCGGAAAACCUAAAUUUGCACCACAUCUUUACUAGAAUAAUGCAUUUCUUUGCUUUUCCAACCACAUUUGAAUACAUAAGACAUCACUACAUCUUUACUAGAAUAGCAAGACCAAAGAAAAUAAGAACCACAAGUAUGCAUUUCCAAAAACUAGAAUAGUGCACGUAUCCCGUCGUUUUCGCAUUUGAAGAACACCCAUCCGGUGUGGUUCGACGUGACCGAAGUAAGCCGCAGCACUGUCCGUGUGCAGUCAUCGCACUGUAUGAGCGGCAACGGCGAGCCACAUAGCCGUUGCGCGAGCGCCAAGCCCGGUGGAUGGCCAGACGAAUCCAUGCCCGCAAAUCGUCGGCGGCGCCGAGAGGACGAACCCGUCCCUGCAUGCGCUGAUGCGCUCUUGCCGGGGCUGCGGGAGAUGCUCCACGACCACUCCAUCGCUUGGCGCAGCCACCGACGGCCGGCAAAAGCCAAAUCCGACGUCCGAAAUCUUGGGCGAAGGGGGAGAGGGGAGGUGGUUGGUGGGGAAACGCGGGUUGAAAUGUCCCCCACCAACCGCUUCCCGCUUAUAUGCAGGGCACCGCAGCGGCGAGGGGGGGAACCCGCGAAUACGCGGGUUGAGGCCGAGAUUUUGCCGUGCCCCGCAAAAAUAUUUACGGGCCGGGGCGGGAUGGAGGGUCUGAUCGGGCAGGUUUUUCCGCCCCGACCCGCACUUUGGCGGUUAUUUUGCGGGCCGGGGCGGGAUGCGGGGUCUGCCAGAGUUGCUCUUAGAGCAUCACUAGUAGUGUCCUCAAAUCCUCAAAUUUUUAAACCAGUUUAAGGUUUGAAAAUUGGCAUUUUUUGGCAGUUUUAAGGGUUGAAAAACAGGGCAAAGACUAGAACUCUCAAACUCAACCCUUAUAACGGAAUAUUAUAAGGGUUGAGUUUAAGGGUUCUAGUCUUUGCCGUAACCCCAACCCUUAAAACUGUCAUUUGACAUAUCAUAAUUUUUAUCAUCUCAAUAACGGUUUGAAGAAAACAAUAAUCAUUCUAGUUAUUAUUACAACACCGAAUAGUACUUUCAAACACAUAAUAAUCAUUCAAGUUAUUACAACAAUGUUUUCAAGCAAAUUACAAUAAUUGUUCUAAUCAAAUAGGACAUAGAAAAGUAAACAAAGGUAGAUCAUGGGUCUUGACGCCGCCCAGCCAACUGCCACUGGUGCUCUACUAGAUCAUCCCGGAGCUGACCAUGAGUGUUUGCAUCCUCAAUCUGACGAUGUGCUUGAAGAAAAGCUUGUACGCGACAAGGGUUUCUUUCCCGGUUGCAAACGGGUACCAACAUUGUCAUAGAAACAAGGCAGUUUUAACCCUCUCUCAUCCUCGAGGAUCAUGUUGUGUAGAAUCACACAACAUUUCAUGAUGUUAUCCAAGGUUUUUUGUCCCAAAAACGAGCUGGACCCCGAACUAUGGCAAACCUUGCUUGCAAAACACUGAAAGCUCUCUCAAUAUCCUUGCGGGCUGCCUAUUGUGCCUUGGUGAAAUGAGCCUCUUUUCUGGUUAAGGGCACCCCAUUUUUCUCCUUGAUGGACUUCACAAGAGUUGCCCAAUCGGGGUAAAUUCCAUCGAUGAGAUAGUAUCCCAUUGAGUACUCAUUGUCCAUGAUUUUAUAGUUGCAAGUUGGAGCAUCCCCAGAAACUAAUCUUUUGAACAAAGGAGAUCUAUUGAGCACAUUGGUAUCAUUGAGUGUUCCCGGCAAACCAAAAAAUGCAUGCCAAAUCCAUGUGUCCUCCGAUGCCACGGCCUCAAGCACAAUGGUAGCAUCACGGCUUUUACCGCAAUACAUUCCUUGCCAUGCCUUUGGACAAUUUUUNNNNNNNNNNNNNNNNNNNNNNNNNNNNNNNNNNNNNNNNNNNNNNNNNNNNNNNNNNNNNNNNNNNNNNNNNNNNNNNNNNNNNNNNNNNNNNNNNNNNCUCCUGCUCGUUCUCGAGUAGGGAAGUGAUAAAGACCGAAUUUUUUAUGUGGAAUGCUACCUAGCAUAGUUGUCCUUUGCAACUUCUUUCACGUGACAGGAAUGUUCAGAUCCGUAAGAUUCGAAACAAUAGUUUGCUAUUGACAUGAAAACAAUAAUACUUCAAGCAAACUAGCAAGGUAAUCAUGAACUUUCCAAAUAACAAGGCCAAUGAAAGUUAUCCUUACAAAAUCAUAUAGUCUAGCUAUGCUCCAUCAUCCCCACACAACUAAUUUAAAUCAUGCACAACCCCGGAAUUGGCCAAGUAAUUGUUUUUGCACUCUUACUUUCUCAAACUUUUUAUAACUAUCACGCGAUACAUGAGCGUGAGCCAUGGAUAUAGCACUAUAGGUGGACUAAAGUGUGGUGGUGGUUGGGAGACAAAAAGGAGGAGAUGGUCACAUUGACUCGGCGUAUCAAAAGGCUAUGGAGAUGCCCAUUAAUAGGUAUCAAUGUGAAUGAGUAGGGAUUGCCAUACAAAGGAUGCACUAGAGCUAUAAGUAUGUGAAAGCUCAAAAGGAAAACUAGUGGGUGUGCAUCCAACUUGCUUGCUCACGAAGACCUAGGGCAAUUUUGAGGAAGCCCAUCAUUGGAAUAUACAAGCCAAGUUAUAUAAUGAAGAUUCCCACUAGCAUGUGGUAGUGACAAAGCAAAAAGCUCUCAAUCCUGAAGAACAUGGUGCUAUCAUGAAGCACAAGUGUGGAAAAAGAUAGUAGCAUUGUCCUUUCUCUCCUUUUCUCCUUUUUUCAUUUGGGCUCUUAGGCCUCUUUUUUCUUUUCUUUUUCUUUUUUUUAUCUUUUUUUGUUUUUGUUUUUGGGCUCUUUGGCCUUUUUUAAUCACAUGGGACAAUGCUCUAGUAAUGAUGAUCAUCACACUUUUAUUUACUCAGAGCUCAAAGAUCACAAUGAUGAUGACUCCAUAGGAAAUGCCUUCGGCAAUGUACCGAGAUGUGCAACGAUCUAGCAUGGCGUAUGACGCUGAAACAUCUCGCUAGCUAUCUUACCAUCAUGCAAUGGCAAUAUGAGAGUGACGACACAAGUCAUGAGACAGAACGGUGGGAGUUGCAUGGCAAUAUAUCUCGGAAUGGCUAUGAAAAUGCCAUAGUAGGUAGGUAUGGUGGCUGUUUUGAGGAAGGAAUUUCGUGGGUUUUUGCACCGGCGAGAAUUGCGCGGCACUAGAGAGGCUAGCAAUGGUGGAAGGUGAAAGUGCAUCUAUACCAUGGACUCACAUUAGUCAUGAAGAACUCACAUACUUGUUGCGAAAGUUUUUAUUAGUAAUCAAAACAAAGUGCUAAACGCAUACUCCGAGGGGAGGGGUUGGUAGGUGUUAACCAUCGCGCGAUCCCGACCUCAACACAAAGGAUGACAAUAAAUAGAUCAAUUAUGCUCCGACUUCCUAACAUAGCGGUUCACCAUACGUGCAUGCUGCGGGAAUCACUAACUUCAACACAAGUAUUUCUAGAUUCACAACACCCUACUAACAUAACUCUUAAUAGUACUGAAUCCACGUCUCAAAACUAAUUGAGAGGAAUCACAACUUCUCUUUCUAUUUAAUGCACACGAAGAUGGAGGUUUUUGUAUCCUCUUUGGGUACCUAUCACAUUUGGGACUACUUUCAUAGCAUAAGCCAACUACCAAAUCACGCACCGCCGUGCUCUAAAGAUAUAAGUGAUGCACAAGAGCAAAAGUAUCUAGCUCAAAAGACAUAAGUGAAGCACAAUGAGCAUUCUAGCAAAACCACGAUGAGUGCAUGUAUCUCUCUCUCAAAAAGGUGUGCAGCAAGGAUUAUUGUGGCCAAACAAAAAUAAAAGACUCCUAAGAUACAAGAUGCUCCAAGCAAAACACAUAUCAUGUGGUGAAUAAAAAUAUAGUCCCAAGUAAAGUUACCGAUGGAUUGAAGACGAAAGAGGGGAUGCCUUCCCGGGGCAUCCCCAAGCUUAGGCUUUUUGGUGUCCUUGAAUUUGGCUUGGGAUGCCUUGGGCAUCCCCAAGCUUGAGCUCUUUCCACUCCUUAUCUCUUUGUCCAUGAGAACAUCACCCAAAACUUGAAAACUUCACAACACAAAACUAAAACAGAAACUUGUGAUAACAUUAGCACAAGAAAACAAACUACCACUUCUCUUGGUACUGUAGCAAACUUGAAUUCUACCUAUAUUGAUGUUGGGCUACUGUAUUAUCACUUCUACAUGGCUAGUACCCCCUGAUACUAACCAUAGUUUCAUCAAAACAAGCAACCAAUUCAACAAAAAACAUAAUCUGUCAAAAACAGACCAGUCUGUAGCAAUCUGUAUACUUCGUAUACUUCUGGUACCUCAAAAAAUCUGCAAAAUUACGACGGCCUGGGAAAAAAGCAUAUAAAUCAGCAGCAAAAAGAAUCAACUCAAAAUCGUUUUCUGAAUAAAAAUGAAAAAUCAUCUCGUGAGCAGAAAGUUUGUGUCUUUUUCCAGCAUGAUCAAACAACUAUCACCCAAGCUAUCAUAAAGGCUUUACUUGGCACAAACGCUAAAAGAAACACAAAAAACACAAUCAUAACAGAAUUAUGAUAGUGUGGACAAAGAAAAAAAGCAAAAAUAAAUUCAUUGGGUUGCCUCCCAACAAGCGCUAUUGUUUAACGCCCUUAGCUAGGCAUUGAUUUCAAUGAUGCUCACAUAAAAGGUAAGGAUUGAAACACAACGAGAGCAUCAUGGAGCAUGUGGCUAGCACUUUUAAGUCUAACCCACUUCCUAUGCAUAGGGAUUUUGUUAUCAAACAAUUUAUUGGAGCAAGAAUCAACUACCAUAGGAAGGCAAAACAAGCAUAGCUUCAAAAAUUUCAACAUAUGGAGAGGAAGCUUGAUACUAUUGCAAUAAGUAGAAGCAUAUGAUCCUCUCUCCUAGUAAUUUUCAGUAGCAUCAUGAAUGAACUCAACAAUAUAACCAGCACCUAAGGCUUUAUUUUCAUGAUCUACAACCAUAGGAAUUUUACUACUCUCCACAUAAGGAAAUCUAUUCUCGAGAAUAGUAGUGGGAGUAUCGUAAAAGACUUGAGCACUACAAAUUGUGUCCACAAUGAAAAAGCAAGGUUUAGUAAAGGGGUUAUCGAGAGUAUGACAAGUUUAAUCAUCCCUCUUCUUUAAAGCAUAAGUAUCCUCACAAUAAUCAUCAUAGAUAGGGGGCAUGCUUUCAUCAAAAUAAUUUUGAUCAUUCAAAGUGGAAGAACUAAAAAUAUCAUCUUCAUCAAAUAUAGCAUCCCCAAGCUUGUGGUUUUGCAUAUCAUUAGCAUCAUGGGUAUUCAAAGAAUUCAUGCUAAGAACAUUGCAAUCAUGCUCAUAAUUCACAUAUUCUAUGCCAAGCAUUCUAUGUAAUUCUUCUUUCAGCACUUUAGCACAAUUUUCCUUCCCAUCAUGCUCACGAAAGACAUUGAAAAGAUGGAGCAUAUGAGGCAUCCUCAAUUCCAUUUUUUUUGUUUUCUAGCGAAAGAACAAGAAACAAAAGAUUUGAUUGCAAGAUCUAAAGAUAUACCUUCAAGCGCUAACCUCCCAGAAAUGCUUCGUUGAUGGGAUGUUAGUGCCGCUUACCUAGCCUCCCCGGCAACGGCGCCAGAAAAAUGCUUGAUGUCUACUACGCAACCUUCUCCUUGUAGACAUUGUUGGGCCUCCAAGUGCAGAGGUUUGUAGAACAUUAGCAAUUUUCCCUCAAGUGGGUGACCUAAGGUUUAUCAAUCCGCGGGGGGCUUAGGAUGAAGAUGAUCUCUCUCAAGCAACCCUGCAACCAAAUAACAAAGAGUCUCUUGUGUCACAAACACACCCAAUACAAUGGUAAGUUGUAUAGGUGCACUAGUUCUGCGAAGAGAUGGUGAUACAAGUGCAAUGUGGAUGCUAGAUAUAGGUUUUUGUAAUCUGAAAUUACAAAAACAGCAAGGUAACUAGUAACAAAAGUGAGCACGAACGGUAUUGCAAUGCGUGGAAACAAGGCCUAGGGUUCAUACUUUCACUAGUGGAAGUUCUCUCAACAAUGAUAACAUAAUUGGAUCACAUAACUAGCCCUCAACAUGCAACAAAGAGUCACUCCAAAGUCACUAAUAGCGGAGAACAAACGAAGAGAUUAUUAUCGGGUACGAAACCACCGCAAAGUUAUUCUUCUGAUCGAUCUCUCAUAGAGUUCGUACUAGNNNNNNNNNNNNNNNNNNNNNNNNNNNNNNNNNNNNNNNNNNNNNNNNNNNNNNNNNNNNNNNNNNNNNNNNNNNNNNNNNNNNNNNNNNNNNNNNNNNNACUAGUUUUACUUUUGAGUCUUUCACAUACUUAUAGCUCUAGUGCUAUCUUCUUGUAUGGCAAUCCCUACUCAUUCACAUUGAUAUCUAUUAAUGGGCAUCUCCAUAGCCUUUUGAUACGGCCAAGUCAAUGUGACCAUCUCCUCCUUUUUGUCUCACAACCACCACCACACUCUAUUCCACCUAUAGUGUUAUAUCCAUGGCUCGCGCUCAUGUAUUGCGUGAUAGUUAUAAAAAGUUUGAGAAAGUAAGAGUGCGAAAACAAUUACUUGGCCAAUACCGGGUUUGUGCAUGAUUUACAUUAGUUGUGUGAGGAUGAUGGAGCAUAGCCAGACUAUAUGAUUUUGUAGGGAUAACUUUCUUUGGCCUUGUUAUUUUGAAAGUUCAUGAUUACUUUGCUGGUUUGCUUGAAGUAUUAUUGUUUUCAUGUCAAUAGCAAACUAUUGUUUUGAAUCUUACGGAUCUGAACAUUCAUGCCACGUGAAAGAAGUUGCAAAGGACAACUAUGCUAGGUAGCAUUCCACAUCAAAAAAUCAUUCUUUAUCACUUCCCUGCUCGAGGACGAGCAGGAGUUAAGCUUGGGGAUGCUUGAUACGUCUCCAACGUAUCUACAAUUUUUUGAUGGUUUCAUGCUAUUAUCUUGUCAAACUUUGGAUGUUUUGCAUGCCUUUUAUAUAUUUUUGGGACUAACUUAUUAACUCAGUGUCAAGUGCCGGUUCCUGUUUUUUCCAUGUUUUUACCCCUUUGAGAGGAGAUUUUGAAACGGAGUCCAAACGGAAGAAAAUCCCCGAAAAGAUUUUUUCUGGAACGGGAGAAGAUCGGGAAGCUUGAGAGCCAAGGCAGGGGAGCCUCAAGGGCCCCACAAGCCCCCACCCCGCGGCUAGGGGGGUAGGCCGCGGCCCACAGGCUUGUGGCCCCCCUGAGCGCCCCCUGACCUAGGGGUUGCGCCUAUAAAUUCCUUAAAAAUCCCCAAAAAAUCAGGAGAUCAUCGAAAGUACUUUUCCGCUGCCGCAAGCUUCUGUCUCCGCAAGAUCCCAUCUGGGGCACGUUCUGGUGCCCUGCCGGAGGGGGAUUCGGAUAGAGAGGGCUUCUUCAUCAACACCAUGACCUCUCCGAUGAUGCGUGGGUAGUUCACCAUAGACCUACGGGUCCAUAGCUAGUAACUAGAUGGCUUCUUCUCUCUCUUGGAUCUUCAAUACAAAGUUCUCCAUGAUCUUCAUGGAGAUCUAUCCGAUGUAAUCUUCUUUUGCGGUGUGUUUGUCGAGAUCCGAUGAAUUGUGGAUUUAUGAUCAAAUUAUCUAUGAAUCUUAUUUGAGUUUCUUCUGAUCUCUCUUAUGCAUGAUUUCAUAUCCUUGUAACUCUCUUCGAGUUGUGGAUUUUGUCUGGCCAACUAGAUCUAUGAUUCUUGCAAUGGGAGAAGUGCUUGGUUUUGGGUUCAUACUAUGCGGUGACCUCACCCAGUGACAGAAGGGGUAGUGAGGCAUGCAUCGUGUUCUUGCCAUCAAGGGUAAAAAGAUGGGGUUUUCAUCAUUGGUUUGAGAUUAUCCCUCUACAUCAUGUCAUCUUGCUUAAGGCGUUACUCUGUUCGGCAUGAACUCAAUACACUAGAUGCAUGCUGGAUAGCGGUCGAUGUGUGGAGUAAUAGUAGUAGAUGCAGAAAGUAUCGGUCUACUUGUCUCGUACGUGAUGCCUAUAUGUAUGAUCAUUGCCUUAGAUAUCGUCAUGACUUUGCGCGGUUCUAUCAAUUGCUCGACAGUAAUUUGUUCACCCACGGUGAUAUUUGCUAUUAUGAGAGAAGCCUUUAGUGAACACUAUGGCCCCCAGGGUCUACUCCACACCAUAUUUUCAGCCUUACACUUUUUACUUCGUUGCACUUUCCGCCUUCAGAUCUCACUGUGCAAACAAUCUUGAAGGGAUUGACAACCCCUUUGAAGCGUUGGGUGCAAGCUUGUUUGUGUUUGCGCAGUACUCUGGACUUGACGAGGCCCUCCUUCUGGAUCGAUACCUUUGUUCUCAAACUGAGGGAAAUACUUACUGCUCAUGUGCUGCAUCACCCUUUCCUCUUCAAGGGAAAAACCGACGCAAACCACAUAAGUAACAAGAAGAAUUCCUAGCGCCAAGGAAGGACUUUUGUUGCCGCAACACCCGCCCCCGCGCCGCCCCGAGCUCUCCUCGCCGACCCGCAGGUAUGCAUUUUUCUUCUUCUUUUUUUGUUUAUUUUUUUCAUUGUUGAUUCAUUGUUGGCACUCACAAAUUUUUGUUUUGUGUUGUGUAGAUGGAGGCGCUUGGUCGUCAUCGGACGAUUCGGACAUUGAGGAGUUGCUUCNNNNNNNNNNNNNNNNNNNNNNNNNNNNNNNNNNNNNNNNNNNNNNNNNNNNNNNNNNNNNNNNNNNNNNNNNNNNNNNNNNNNNNNNNNNNNNNNNNNNGAAAGGGGGGGGGGGGUUACGAUCCUCCUAAGAGGCUGGUACAUCAGUGUUACAGGAAGAUCAAUGGACGUCGCAGGAUGCGGGCAGGGUUAUCCUGAGCCCUUUUGCCCAGCAUCGGGAUUCGUCCUUGAUCUUGUCAACGCAUCAUUUUGUAUCGUUGAGUGAUAUAGGAUUUACUAGGUGUUUGAGGCAUGAUAAUUUGGAACAAGUAAUAUAGUCGGUCCAUUCAGUAUGACCUUGAGGGAUUAUUGUUCUGAUUGACCAACUGUGCUUUCAACCACUCGCUACUGGCCAUUGCAGUUUCUUCUUCAUGGUCACUAACAUUGCUAGAAUACAUGAUUUUGGGUGUACGGGCCUGCGUCACAUUGCUAGAAUAGAAAAUUAACGAGGCAUUGAUGUCCCAUUUUAAGAACAGGGGUACACACAUCUAUGGAAGUAAGUAGUUCAGUUCAGUCUCCAGCGUAAGUAGUGGGGAAGAGGCAUGUUUGGUUGCAGCUACUAAUCUGAAGUUAGUAACUAUAGGUACUGAAUUUGCCUUUCUUGAUAAAAGGGCAGAUCGGUGCAUGUAGCUCCCGCUUGCGCGGGGUCCAGGGAAUUUGCCUUUCUUGAUAGUGAAAUGUAAUUUUGGCGAGGUUAUAGUCACACCAAUGUAAAUCAGAAAUCAGGGGUAUGUUUCAAGUGUUAUUGGCCUCUAGACUGUUAUUAUUUGUACCAUGGAAGCUCUGAGUACAUUGUACCAGGGACAUACUAAGUGUCAGCAAAAAUAGGAGCACAUUUUUUUCUUUCGGGAAAACACAAAGGCUUGCGUUUCUUUUCAUUGAAAAGGGAGAGAAUAUGUACAGUACAUGCCUUCGAGAAGUAGGCUACAGGGGCUCCAAAGAAAGAAAAGGAAAGGAAAAGGAAAAGGAAAGAAAGGACCUGCACAAGACUAGUGCACAUCCCAGGUAGGCGGCACAAUCGUCCCAAGGCCGGUGGCCCCAGCCCGAACCCAAAGGGAGGCUUCCUCUCUGAUCUUUGCCGAAAGCACGGCAGUGGAGGGCCGUUCGCCGUCGAACACACAUGAGUUGCGGUGCUUCCAAAGCAUCCAUGCUGUGAGGAGGGUUGCCGUGGCGAGGCCCUUGCGCAUAGCUUUAGGCGUGUCCAGCUUGGUUUGCAUCCACCAGUCGUUUAGGGAGGCCUCUUGGUCUGGCGGCUGGCAUGUCAAACGCAGCCAGGAGAGCGUGUCAUGCCACACCUGCCGCGAGAAGGGGCAGGUGACUAGCAAGUGGCGCAUCGUUUCAUGCUCUUGGUCGCAAAGGACACAUCGUGGAUGGUGUUGAAGGCCGCGGCGGCGCAGACGGUCCGCUGUCCAGCACCUGUCCAGAUUAGCAAGCCAUUGGAAGAACUUGACGCGGGGUGGCGCCCAGCUUUUCCAGGUCAGCUUCCAUGCAUCGCAGCUAGUGGAGCCCUGGAAGGUGACGAGGUACGCACUGCGCGCAGAGUAGCAGCCAUUUGAAGUCCACCUCCAGAUUAGCUGGUCCGGUCCCUCGGUGAGAACAAAGCCUUCGGUUUCGCGCCACAGCAGCAAGUAUUGGCCUAUUUCAUGGAUGCCUAGGUGGCCGUGGAUGUCUCUAGCCCANNNNNNNNNNNNNNNNNNNNNNNNNNNNNNNNNNNNNNNNNNNNNNNNNNNNNNNNNNNNNNNNNNNNNNNNNNNNNNNNNNNNNNNNNNNNNNNNNNNNGUCGGCGCCCGUCAUUGCCGCGCACUCCAGCUCUCGCAACAAGGUUACCAGAUGAUGAUCUACAGAAGAACGCAAGCAGAGCAGAUGCCAGAUGGGAUGCAAGUGAGAGUGACCAAAUGGAGGAGGGGGGAAUGACGAAGCGGGGAGAGCAGUAGCAAAAGUGCACAGCGGCUGGUGGUCUCGGAGAACUGACGCACUCGACCGACCACGAGCUGCUGCUGCUCCGUCCAGUCAAGUUGAGCGCCGCGCGCCGGAGCAAUGCACCGGGUCUGAAAAGGCAGAGUAAGCUAAGCAUUUCGGGAUGAAGGCCACGUUCCACGGACAGCACUCCUCCCGGUGACGUACUCGCAUGACGAUGGGAGCGAUGGGAGCACACGGGUGAGGCUGCCCACAUGCGAAACAAAAAUGAUAAACAUACAAUACAAAGACUUACAAAAGGUUACCCACUCACUAGUAUUUUUUCUUUCUAACUAACCCUCUCUUCUUCUGAUUUUCAAGGGAUGAGGCUUCAUCUAUACUACUUAUUAAACAAUCAAACAAGAAUUACACUACAGACGCCCCAUAAAACGCCCCACAAAAAAAACAACCAAUCAGCACCUCACGAUUAAUCCCACAGAUUCUUAAUCUAACUAGCCCUCGUUAAAUCCAACCGUCUGCUGGGUGGACUUAGCAAUUANNNNNNNNNNNNNNNNNNNNNNNNNNNNNNNNNNNNNNNNNNNNNNNNNNNNNNNNNNNNNNNNNNNNNNNNNNNNNNNNNNNNNNNNNNNNNNNNNNNNGAGCAAGGAACACCUGACGACUACUUCUUCUUUCCAGUAAAUUUUAACCGAAGGCUCCAUAGCGUGGGCAUUGAGCUGCUAUUAGGAUUUACUAGGUGUUUAGUGUUUGUUUGGUGUUUUCUCUCUUCUUCAUCAUUAUGCUUCAAGGAUAUUUAUCAUGCACUUAAGAACACACAACAUACGAGAGGAGAUGCAUUGGGAGAACCAUUGGAUAACAAAAUUUAUCUAGCUCCAUCAUGAUUAGUCAGUAGUGGGUUUUCCACAACUUGUUCUAUGGACCGUAAAAAAUAAGCACAUGGAAAAACAUUGUUACUAUUAGCACCACCCUCGUCAUGGUAGGGCCACCCUUCUCACACAUCUCAGAUAUCUCACUUCUGUGGAUCAGUGGUUCAGUUCAGUCUUCACCGUAAGCAGUGUGGAAGGGGUACAUUUGCUUGCAGCGACUAUCUGAACGUAGUAAUAUAGGUACUGGAUGUGCCUUUCUUGAUAGUUUACUGUAAAUUUUGUCAAGGUUAUAGUCACAGCAAUGUAAAUCAGAAGACAGAGGUAUAUUUCAAGUGCUAUUAGCCUCUAGACUGUGCGUAUAUGUACCAUAGAAGGAUUUGGUACAUUGUACAAGGGAAACACUAAAUGUCAGCAAAAAUAAAAGUAUAUUCUACCCUGGAAACACUAAAUGUCAGCAAAAAAAUUGAGUACAUUGUACCAUGGAAAUACUAAAAUGCCAGCUAAAAAAGUAGGUCUCGCCGGGAUUCGAACCCAGGUCGCCAGAUUCAAAGUCUGGAGUGCUAACCACUACACUACGAAACCAUUUGUUGAGUGUGAUAAACUGAUGGUUAUAUUUCUGUCAUUAGGGUUACUGACAAAAUAUUGUUUCUUUACUUGAUGAUUCCUGUUAAAUUUCCUUCCCUUUUUUCAGACUUGCUUCUGUUUGGCAUUUGGCAGCUAAAUGUAGGAAAUAUCCGACAAAGAGGAGAGGAUCGACUAGCCAGCUAGCGUGUGGAUGGGUGCGGCUCUUGGCUCGCCACGACAGAACACGGGAUGCCGCCCUGUCGCGUUGGCGCGGGCGACACGAGCGCCAUCUUUGUGGCAACGCUGGUACUGUGGGCCGUGCCGGUGGGGUUCAAGAUCGGCGCGCGGGGCACGAGCUGGCGGCCGUGGCUGCCGCAAUGCCUUCAUCCAGGCCGCCAACACGGCCGUCCGUGCCGCCGUAUCCUGUGGCCCGCUCUUCGUCAACACUGCCGUCCUGCUCCUCCUCUCCUCUCACUUCCGCCUCAGGUCUGGCCCCUUUUUCUCUUUCAUCCCCUCUCCGAACCCUCACAUUUCGCCCCAUAGCUUUUCUCGUAUAUGCGCUUUCGGUUAAUUGACUAUAAGAUAGCAUACGCCUAGUCGACGUCAAGCAUUUCGCGAAUUUGAGGAUAGGUAGGGUGUGACAGAUUAAUCAGAUGGUAACUUGUUGAUGCUCGAUGGAAUUUGUUCGACCCUGGAGUCCUGGACAAAAGGGAGCAGCAUGAGUUAUUUACUCAGAGUUAGUGUUGUUAGUUACUGCGAUACUGGUUUCUUGUACUGUCGAGAAUUGUCUCCAUUGGAGCUUUGAUUGGUUGAAAUUGUGCAAGAUUUCUCAAAGUCCAUAUUGCUUGCCACCUUGCUGUUUAUAGCAUGUUCGGCUUCUAGAGGUUGUCUGGUUCCUACUUCCAAGUAAUGUGGCACCCAUGCAAUGGUCUUGCAUGCAGACAGUACACUUCUAUGUUUUUCAUACAAAAUUGCCAACCCUUAAAAAGAAUGGCAAUGGUAUAAAGUGUGUUUAGAGUAGUUCACUAGUUGGACGGCAAAUAUCUCCAUUUUGUCUACCAGUUGGGCGGCAAAUCAGCACCUAGUGCCUGAACGUCAAUUAGGUGGGCCUAGGAGGGACAAAUUGGCUAGCAGGAAGGGUGUCACCUAGUGCCUGGGGCCCUCUAGGUGUACUAGGCGGCUGACUUUUGGAACACUACCUUUCUCACAACAUUACUUUUCAUGUAUCACUUCUUCGCAGGUACUUAUCUAGUAAAUCUAUCGCACAGAAUUGACAACGACUAAGCAAAAAAAUAAAAAAAUGAUAGGAAUGGUACAGAAAUUUUGUGUCCACUUCUCACAACAUUACUUUUCAUCACCUCUAAAUACAUGGAAGCUCUGAGUACGUUGUACGAGGGAAAUUUUGGAACAUUACUUUCUCACAACAUUACUUUUCAUGUACCACUUCUUUGCAGAAAUUUUGUGUCCCAGACAGUCGGAUAUGUGCCAUUAGAUUUAGAGGUGCUGUUCUUUCUCUCAAUUCCCUCUGCAGUAUGUAAUACUGUCGAUCCUUCUUUUAAAUGGAUGGCUUGUAGGUGUACUGCAUAUUCUCGAAAGCUUACUAUGUCUUUUUCUGGUAAACAUUUCUUUAGUUUGUUCCAUCUAUGCUGCCAUAGCCCAUAUGUUAUUUAAUUCUUAGGCUUGUCGAUCGACUUUCUCUCACUCCUAUUUGUUGAUUGACUUUCUCUCGCUCCUAUCUCGUUUGCAGUUAUCUUUGUUCUGCUGUGCCAAAGGCGUAGGGCCAUGAGAACAUGUUUCAGCAUGAAGAAUUAGUUGGUAGCAGUUGGAUUGGAGCAUAUUCUGCUCUGUGCUUUUCGUGUGGCUACGAUGCUUAUGGCCAAUUGGACAUGCUCUGCUACCGGCUAUACAGUGGAUGGAUUCCUGGGAUUCUGAUGCAUCACCUUAUUCUGCUCAUUUGCUUUACGCUAGCUCUGUAUCGGAAUGUGACAAUCAACUGCCUAAUUCUCAUUCUUCUGUGCAAGGUACAUAUGUCUCUUCUCAUAUUUUCUGGCAUUUAAUUUCGUUGACAAAGUUGGUUUAUUUGGUCACUUCAAAUAGUUUUGUCUUAUAAUUUGCCAUGGGGCUAUUAAUUACCCAGUUGUCAUUUGAGGAAUAUGUGUGUACUUUUCAAGAGAUAAUCCUUUUCUUGCACUUAUAAAUUGUGUUGCUCCUAAAUUGUGACCAACAGACCAUCUUAGUGGCCUGUGAUGUAAAAAAUCAGUACACUAGCAUUGCUUUUCCAACUCAGGAUUGCGAGCUGCUGUCACAAGCAUCCAUAGUCGGUAUGGCCACAUUAACAAGUUGCAGCCCAAACUUUAUUGCAGUAAACCUGUUGCCGGAAUGAUAAUACAAAGAGAACAUAGAGAAGACUAUUCACUUUAUCAUUACAAUUUGGAACAAAUGACAUGGCCGGUUUAUUCAGUAUGACCUUGAAGGUUAACUAUUUUGAUAGCCCAGCUGGGCCUUAAACCACCCGAUAAUGGCCAUUGCAGUUCCUUCUUCGUGUUCACUAACAUUGCUAGAAUACAAUAUUUUGGGUUCUUGCACGGGUCGGUGCAUCACAUUGCUAGAAUAGAAUAUUAAUGGGGCAUUGAUGUCUCAUUUUAAGAAUAACGGUAUUGAAAUAAGUUGUUCAGUUCAGUCUCGUAAUCAGUGGAGAAGUUCUACAUUUGGUUGCAGCAACUAAUCUGAAGUUAGUAGGUAUACACUGUUCUUUCACUUGUGAGUAUUUGUAUGGUCUGGGUACAGUGUACCAAGGAAAUACUAAAUGUCAGCAAAAAUAGGAGUACAUUCUACCUUGGAUACACUAAUUACCUGAAAAAUCACGAGUCGAUAUUUUCCCCGAAUACUAGUCCGGGAAAAAAAUGUGAGUGCAUUGUACCAUGUAAAUACUAAAAUGUCAGCUAAAAAAGUAGGUCUCGCCGGGAUUCGAACCCAGGUCGCCAGAUUCAAAGUCUGGAGUGCUAACCACUACACUACGAAACCAUUUGUUGAGUGUGGUACACUGAUGGUUAUAUUUCUGUCAUUUAGCAUACAGCCAGAAUAUUUUCCUUUACUUGAUGGUUCCUGUUAGAUUUCCUUCCUUUUUUUAAACUUCCAUUUGCCACCUGACAGCUAAAUGUAGCAAGAAAUAUCCGGUAAAUACCUUAUUUUAUUUUUUCAAUUCAUUUUAGCCAUUGUGUGGGUACGAUAAUUUUGCCUCAUUGAGCUGCUAUUAGGAUUUACUAGGUGUUUAGUGUUUGUUUGGUGUUUUUCCUUUCUUCUUAUUAAGCUUGAAUGAUAUAUAUAGCUUCAACAUUAUUAGCCAGUAUUGGAUUUUCUACUUGUUCUAUUAGCACCAUCGUCGGCGUGAUCGGGUCACCCUUCUUACACGUCUCUAAUAUCUCACUUCUAUGGUCAGUAGUUGUAACCAUACCUUCCCCCGCACAUCUUCCAUCUAGCUCAUCGCCUUGCCAUCAUCUCAUCCUACCGCUCUGAGAGCAACUCCAACGGGCCGUCCCAAACGGACGGCAAUUUUGUCCGCUUUUUGUCCGUUUGGGUCGGCCAGGCGGACACGAACGUUCGCUUCCGCGUUUGGGUCGGCGCAUGGGCCCAACGCUGGCCCAACCCAUUUUGACGGCGCGAGAAAAAAAGAAUGCAUGCAUAUUUAAAAUAAAACAACAUUAAUAAACAUUAAAGCCGGCCACGAAGGCCGGCGA
rnacentral:lncRNA from 1 species